AUAAUAUCUGAAACAAAUAAUAUACAUGCUUGUAAGACUAUAAAUGACAUACACAAAUAGAAAUACUUAAAUAAUUAAUUAAUAUAAGUACUAAAUAAUAUUUACAACUUAAUCUUAUUUAUUUUAAUAUAUUUACACAAAAUAUUUACAAAAGGAGUGUAAACUAGGGAGAGGAGACAUUUAACGGAGGUUGGACGGGGGACUUCAGCGGGUAUAUAAUUGUGCAGAGGAGAUUGCAUUAAGGGACAACUAAAGAAUAAAUGAUCCAUGUUUCCCUCAUCAAGGCCACAAUCACAUAGAGAAUGAUCCCUAAUUCUAAGUUUUGCUAGAAAGACUGGAGUGCAGGCAUGGUUUAAACGGUAGAGCACAAGUCAUGAGUGAAUAUUUCUGAAUACUGAAAGGAACCUGAAUGAGCAGCUGAUCUAGCACAGGCAUCUGCAUUUUCAUUAUCAGAGAUGCCCAUGUGACCUGGAAUCCAAGCUAAAACUAUGUUAAUUUUGAGUUCAUAGCACUCUUUCAAAGUUUCUCUUAUUUUGAGAAUGAUGGGAAACUGACUUUUUGUCUUAAACGGAUUUGAGAGAAUUGAUUGGAGGCAACUUUUAGAGUCUGAAAGGAUAAUAGAAUUGUUCAUGUUGUGAGACUUAACAAAUAGAAUAGCUUCAAGAAUGGCGAUUGAUUCCCCUGUAAUCACAGAAGUGGUAGGUGGGCAGCUAUAACUCAGUAUAAUUCUUGUUGAGGGAAUCCAUACUGCAGCCCCAACCGGACUCAUGUCUGUUUUUGAAGCAUCCGUGUAGAUUUUAUACCAAUGUCGAAAAUCUGAGUCCAUUAUAUGAGAAAAAGUUUUAUUUGCUUCUAUAGAAAACUUAUCAACACCUAAGUCUAAAAUUACUGAGGGUUGGAAAGUAAGAGCAUUGAAAGGCAUAGAAAAUAAAGGCAAUUUAGAAUAUUGAAAGAGAGGGUUAGAGAGCUGAGAAAAUAAAAGGUAACUAUUUAUAACGCAAGGUCUUUUGUCUUCAGGUACAAUAUUAUUAUCAUUGUAUAAAACAGCUAAUUGUUCUGAUUUUUGGAGUAAGGGAUGAGCUCGGCAGCCAGCUAGUUUAAAGAAAAAUUUAUUGGCAAGGAAUUGUCUACGUAGUGAGAGGGGAGGAUCCACACAUUCUACUUGCAUUGCAUUAAUAGGUCUGGAUUUCAUAGCUCCCAAUACUAUACGUAAACAUUUAGCCUGAAUUCUGUCCAAUUUAUUUAGACCUGCUUUGUUUGCUGGGAUUAAGAAAAUAGUGCCAUAAUCUAAAUGAGUGCGAAUUAUGGCAUUGUAUAGUAAUUUUUGAGUGACGGGGUAAGCUCCCCACCAGACACCAGACAAUGAGCGAAGAAUAUUAAUAUUUUUCUCACAUUUCUGUGAGACAUAAUCAAAAUGCUUGACGCCAGAUAAUUUGUGAUCCAACCAAAUACCCAAAAACUUAACAUUAUUAACAAUUGGUAGAUCAACAUCAUAAAUUUUAAUUUUAAUAGGUGGAAGAAUUCUUUUAUUUGUAAAUAAAACUACCUUACUUUUAGAUGUUGAUAGAGACAGUCCAUGUUGUGUUAAAUAUUCAGAAAGAUAAUCAAGAGCAUUAUUUAAAUGAUUAGAUGAAUCUUGUAUAGACUUGUCAGAAGAAUACAGGACAAUGUCAUCUGCAUAUUGCAGUAUCUGACAGAAAGGUGUAACGGUACUGUUGAGGUCAUGGGUAUACAGAUUAUAAAGAAGGGGACUAAGGACUGAGCCUUGAGGUAAACCUUUCCAAACUGACUUAGGAGGGAGGUAAGAGGAUGGACCUUUAAUAGUGAUGGAUCUCUCCAUUAACAUGUUACAUAUGAAACGGGAUAACUUCACGGGGAUACUCAGCUGGUUGAGUUUACUCCUGAGUAGGGGAAGUGAAACGUUAUCAUAUGCAGAUUCUAUAUCAAGAAAAACUCCCACAAGGUGUUCUUUUCUGAGGAGUGCUAUUCUAAUGUCAGUUGUAAGGAUACCUAAGCUAUCUAAGGAGCUCUUGCCCUUUCUGAAACCGUACUGGGAGUUGGAAAGGAGAUUAUUGGUUUCAACAAACCACUCAAGUCUUUGUUUAAUCAUGAUUUCAGAAACUUUUGCAAGAGCAGAAGAGAGGGCAAUUGGCCUAUAGCUGGUAGCUUCAGAUGGAUUCUGACCAGGUUUAAGUAAUGGAAUAAUUACCUGAUUUUUCCAAGGUGGAGGGAUGGAACCAAGAUCAAAAAGGUUAUUGAUUAUGCUAAGAUAAUAUUCCUUGGUUGUAGAUGAUGAAUUUUUAAUGAAAGAGUAUGGGAUUCCAUCUGCCCCAGGAGCAGAGUCAACUAGGCCAUCCAGAGCAAGAAGAAGUUCAGAGAAUGAGAAGGGGGACUCUAAACUGUGAGUUGAGGCAAGAGGGAUUGGGGGGGAUGGAAAAUAGUCCAUAUUUGGAACUGAAGGGGGGGACAUCCUAUCUGAAAAGGAAUCAAGCCAUACAGAAGGAUCCACACUAAAAUCACACAUUUGAUCACAAAAUGAACCUCUAAAUUUUUUAAUUUGUUUCCAGUCAGUUGAGGAUGGAGUGCUUGGUUUUAAAUUCUGGCAAAAAUUAAUCCAACCUUGUUUUUUCUUUUUUCUGAAUAAAUGGGUAGCCUUCGCCGCCACUUUUUUAUAAUAAAUAAAGUUUGACAUGGA